GGAACUCUGGAGAAUCCCAUUAAAUUGGGUGCCGAAGGUGAAAGUAGCAUAGCUAUGAAUCUCUCAGGCAAAAGGACAGUGAUU
rnacentral:ncRNA from 1 species